GGCCGCGGGAAUUCGAUUCAGGCCUAACACAUGCAAGUCGAACGGCAGCACGGAGCUUGCUCUGGUGGCGAGUGGCGAACGGGUGAGUAAUAUAUCGGAACGUACCCUAGAGUGGGGGAUAACGUAGCGAAAGUUACGCUAAUACCGCAUACGAUCUAAGGAUGAAAGUGGGGGAUCGCAAGACCUCAUGCUCGUGGAGCGGCCGAUAUCUGAUUAGCUAGUUGGUAGGGUAAAAGCCUACCAAGGCAUCGAUCAGUAGCUGGUCUGAGAGGACGACCAGCCACACUGGAACUGAGACACGGUCCAGACUCCUACGGGAGGCAGCAGUGGGGAAUUUUGGACAAUGGGCGAAAGCCUGAUCCAGCAAUGCCGCGUGAGUGAAGAAGGCCUUCGGGUGUAAAUCUAUUGGUCAGGGAAGAAACGGGAAAGCUAAUAUCUUUGCUAAUG
rnacentral:rRNA from 1 species